rnacentral:rRNA from 1 species
UUUCCGUAGGUGAACCCGCGGAAGGAUCAUUG